CUGAACUCUGUUCCAUCAAGGCCUGCAAUGAGUUUGCCAAAUUCUUCACAGAAAAAAAUCCCGAAUAUCAGACAAACAGUUGGUUCACCAGCAGCAACAGGUUCAGGAAGUAUACUGUGUCCAUUGAA